GUGAGGAAUAUUGCGCAAUGGAGGCAACUCUGACGCAGCCAUGCCGCGUGCAGGAAGAAGGCGCUACGCGUUGUAAACUGCUUUUAACCGGGAAGAAACCCCAGGACGUGUCCUGGGUUGACGGUACCGGAGGAAUAAGCACCGGCUAACUUCGUGCCAGCAGCCGCGGUAAUACGAAGGGUGCAAGCGUUAUCCGGAUUCAUUGGGUUUAAAGGGUGCGUAGGCGGAGCGUUAAGUCAGUGGGGAAAUCCUGCAGCUUAACUGUAGACUUGCCAUUGAUACUGGCGCUCUUGAGUGCGCUUGAAGUGGGCGGAAUGUGCCGUGUAGCGGUGAAAUGCUUAGAUAUGGCACAGAACACCAAUUGCGAGGGCAGCUCACUAAGGCGAUACUGACGCUGAGGCACGAAAGCGUGGGGAUCGAGCAGGAUUAGAUACCCGAGUAGUCC
rnacentral:rRNA from 1 species